AGAGAACAUUCGCACCUGGUUCAAUGCGGACCCUUGUUCCCGAGGUCGGGGGGGAUGGGGCAGAGAGCGCCUUUUUACCCUUGUACGGAAACUGAAGACAGUUCUGAGGCUCAGAGAUAGGAGAAACGGCAUCGAGUACAGGACCCCGAGGACUUAAGCCUCGGCUCCCGAAGGAAUGCGCCCCUACCCCCAUCCCCAAUUCUAGCCCUAAUUCAGUGCAAAGCGUGGAAGCAGACCUUCAUCCCCUAACCUCCAGCCCUCGGGCUCGAGCAAUACUAGCACUGUUCCUGCGUUUGGAAGCAGAAAGUGGAGGAUCCAAAAUAAGAGAAUACGAUAACCUACUUUACGAUACUGGGUACUUUAUUUAUUUAUUUUUUUAAAGAAGACAGCGCAUUUAUUUAUUUAUUUUUCUCGGCCAUGUGUGGGAAUAUUAAGGAAACUGUCAAAUCCCUGAGACACCAGCAGAUAAACACUGUGCAAAACCUACGUGCGAAGACAUUUGAAGGGGGUGUCUGCCCGGUUCUGAGCUGGGCCCCAGGGGUAGGGAGUGCGAGGUGUGGUUAUGUGGGCAGGGUGGUCAGUUCGGGAUGACAAGGCGGGGUGUGCUUCCUGCGGGGAACUCAAAUCUGCGCUGAGGGCUGGUUCGGUCCCGCCAGGAAGCUGUGCUUACGGGAGCCCGCAGCGGGUGAUUUUCCAGCGCGGACUUGGAGGGUGGAGGACGGGGGCUGGAAGGACAGUGUCCAGCUGCGCCUGGGCGGAAUACCUCGACUGCUGGGACCCCAGGAGCGGCUCCACGUCCUGGAACACGGGGCUUUGGGGAGGCAAGGUGCUCCAGAGUGUGCCACGCCCCCCAAUCUCCUGCCCUGCUGCGUAGGACAGCCGGGGUCACGCUGCCGGGGCUCAGCCCCAGCGCGCUGGCCACCUCCAGGGCGCGAAGACGCAUGUCCCCGCACAGCCCCGGUCUUCCCUUCUCCACUCUUCGGGCCCGGGGGUCGGGGCCCGCGGUGGGCACCUGGAGAGGGGCGAGGCAGGAUGAGGCCGGCGGGCGGAUAGUUCGGGGCGCGCGGGGAGCCGGACCGCAGACCUGCCUCCAGCCGCCGCGCCCGGGAGCCAGGAGAUCCUGCUAUAGAUAGUAACAGGGAAGCGGCUGUUUACAGCAACACAGCGCCGCCAGGGCCGUCUCCAGGCAACGCCGCGCGGCCGGGCGCGCCGUCGGCCUGGCGAGGCCACCCUCCCUCCCAGCUCCCCUGGGCCGCGGCCUCCCCGGCCCGGCCGCGGCCGCUCCCGUCGCCUGACAUCAUCCGCCGGGUCCGGGGGCUGAGCGGCCCGCGCGAGGCUGUGCGCUAACCUCCAUUCUUAGAGAUCCAACCCGGCAGGAGCGGGGAGGGCAGGAGGCGGGGAUUCGUGGAACUGGGCCACUUGCUAUUUUUGCAUUCCCUGUCACAGGCAGAGGUGAAAACAGAAUUUCAUCAUUGUAUGUCAUUGGUUUAUGUUGGUGGGAAUUUAGGCGCUUUUUUUUCUCACUCAUAAAAAGGGAGGGAAACGGAAAAACACACAUAAUACGUAAACACAGAUUCCUUGGAGCUGCUCUGAAUCCUAAAGCAAUUCUGCGGCCUUCGGUACUUCUAAUUCUAUCCUUGAUUACAGAAAGAAAGAGGGGGACGGGAGGGAAAGGGGUUAUGAAGCCAAAUACAUCUCUCUUAUUAUUAAUAUUAGCUUCAGACAAAAUAGGUCAAGCUUUGAAUUCCUGAGUCUGGCCAUGACUGCCAUUCACAACUAGAUCUCAGGCCACUUAACAGGAAACCUGACUGGGUGCGGUGGCUCACUCCUGUAAUUCCUGCACUUUGGGAGCCCGAGGCGGGUGGAUCACUUGAGGCCAGGAGUUCGAGACCAGCUUGGCCAUCAUGGUGAAACUCUGUCCCUGCUAAAAAUACAAAACAGCCGGGUGUGGUGGCGCACGCCUGUAGUCCCAGCUACUCAGGAGGCUGAGGCAGGAGAAUUGCUUGAACCCGGGAGGCAGAGGUUCCUGUGAGCCGAGAUCGUGCCACCGCACUCCAGCCUGGGCAACAGAGCAAGAUUCUGUCUCCAAAAGAAAAGAAAAGAAAACCUAGAAUGAUUUGAUUUACUUCCCUUUCAGGUCCAAAGCAUCUCGGCCAAUACCUAAAAGAUGUGUCAAGAUUUUAUAUCCAGGAUUUAUCUCAAAUACACUUAUCCUGCCUUUGCCAAUUAAAAAAAAAAAAAAGAAGAAGGGUCUUUGAGUGAGCCUAUUUCCUCCAGAUAGCUUAACUCUUUCCUUCUGGCACCAUUAUGACCAGAGUUGGA
rnacentral:lncRNA from 10 species